ensembl:lncRNA
AAAAAAUACAGCAUUUUGAAACAUAAUUCAAAAUGGCCGACACCUAAAAUGGCCGACACGGCAAAAUUGGAUAUCAUUCGACUCGACAUGACCCACCGAAUCUAAAGAGACCAGUUUUGUGAUUUUUGGCCAAACCAUUCAGAAGUUAUAAGCAAAAAUAUGCAUUUUUCAUAUCUCCUGACCACUAGGUGGCGCUGCGUCGAAACACUGCAGGUAGUCUCCGGUCAUGCUUGUUAUAACACACACCAAGUUUGGUCUCAAUACGCCAAACCGUUGCGGAGUUAUAGCCUCACAAGCAUUUUUGCGUGCUUUUCAUAGAAUUUUUUCGCAUGGUAUUCGAGAACGUUUGGACGAAUCAACUUGAUUUCCAUAACUUUUUGCCGGCAUGGUCUGAAGAUGAUCUGAGCCAAUUUUAGUGAAAAUCGGACUAACCGUCUAGGACGAGUUCGAAAAAGUAAGUUUUUCAAACAAUUGAAAAUAGCGAAAAAACUAAACCUUGCGAUUUUUGAAUUUUGGGGUUCAUUCGACUUGGCAUGAGCCAAGGAUUCAGAGGAAAAAAGAAUUUUCAUUUUGUGGCUUACGGUUCAAAAGUUAUUAGCAUAAAAAUAUUGAAAUUUUGGACAAGUGGUGGCGCUAGAGAGUUAGAGUUAGAGACUUCAAAUUUGCUAUAGUUAAUGCUGGGACUGUCCUCUAUCAGUGUGCCAAAUUAUACAACUUUCCCGCAAUCGGUUCUAUGGGCUGCCAUAGACUUGCGGCGGAAGAAGAAGAAGAAGAAGAAGAAGAAGAAGAAGAAGAAGAAGAAGAAGAAAUAUAGCUGCAAGCAGCAAUUACGGGGCCAAGCACUCCAGAGGCAAAUUGAGGAGCUAAGCAUGGCAUGGACCAUCAGACCAAAUGCAGAAAGGACUAACUGAAGCCAUUUUAGGAUGAUUGUAAUUGAAAUGGCGGAAAAAUCGUAAAUACAAGCACUAGUAUUAUGAUUAAAUGGCUUAUCACUUUUGACCAACAGGUGGCGCUGUAAUCAAAUCAUUUUGGUGUGUUCUGUGUGAGGUGACAAUGGCACACACAAAGUUUGGUGUCAGUAUGCCAAAGCAUUGCAGAGAUACAGGCUGAAGUGUCAUUUUGGCAUCAUGCCUGAAAUUCGUCGCUGUGGUAUGCGAAAACGAUUUUGUCUAUCGAUACAAAAUCCAUAACAUUUUGUCAGCACAGUCUGAAGAUCAUCUGAUUCAAUUUUGGUGAAAAUCGGACCAACGGUUGAUGAGGAGUUCGAAAAAGUAGGUUUUCAACAUAAAUCAAAAUGGCGGACAGGAAGUUCAGCGUACUCUGACAUAUUUGGUAUCUAUGUUGUCGGCAUAAGCCAAGGAAUAUUUUGAGACCAGUUUUAUUGCAAUAGGCUAAUGCAAUAAAAAGUUAUUAGCAUUUUUAUAAAUGUAAUUAUUAAUGGUUAAUGAAUGGUUUAUUACUCUUGACCAAUAGGUGGCGCUGUUACCAAAUUGAUGUUGCAUGGUCAGUGUGAGGUGACAAUGGCACCUACAAAGUUUGGUGCAAAAAUGUCAAAGCUUUGCAGAGAUACAGCCUCAGAUGUAUUUUGGCAUCUUACGACCAAAUUUGUUGAUGCGCUAAAC